AGAGAGAAGAAAGAGAAAUUCCCAACAUCGAGAUAAAGGGGUUCAUAUAUACAGAUUGUCAAGACCCCAUAAAAUAUCUUGAUUCUUACAUAGAGAUAAUAAUAAAAAUAUUUAUUAAGAUAUUUAUUAAGAUAUUUAUUAAGAGGUAUAUUUUUUAACUAAUAAAAAUUACAUUAUUUAUCUAAAACCUAUUAAGAUAAAUUCUAAUCCACAUCAACUACAAUAAAAAUAAUGUAAAACGACACUUUUAAAUACCGAUAUAUGUCAAAAAAGUGCCGCUGGCUAAAUUACUGACACUUUUUAAAAGUGUUGCUAUAUAUGGGGUCGCUAUAUGUGGGGCCGUCUCGAUAUUUGGUACUCACUCCUCCAGCGACUUAUGGCGGAGGGAUAUGUGGCGAUCGUAAUCCUCUACAAGCCCUACGAGAUCCUUACAGCCGAACUUCAACCAUCGGAACCCUAUCUUGUCGGCUGUGGUGGUGAAGGAGGAGAAUGGGAAAUGGUGAUCAAUUUUUUCUUUUUUAUUUGUAAUCGAUCGAGUGGGCUGGGUAGAGUUUGUUGAUUAGAGUAACUUUUUUUUUUUUUGUUGGAUUGAGCUGUUGUAGUGAUCUCAUGUGGAUUCGAUUAAAUUAGGAUGGCCAAUGUG
rnacentral:lncRNA from 1 species